ensembl:snRNA U1 U1 spliceosomal RNA
GGCCUUUCCUGGCAGGGGAGACACCGUGAUCAAGGAGGCGGUUCACCCAGGGCGACGCUCAGCCAUUGCGCUCCUGCAUAAUUUCUGGUAGUGGUGGCCUAGCGGUGAAGGAAGCGGCCCCGUA